UUAAAUUGAAGAGUUUGAUCAUGGCUCAGAUUGAACGCUGGCGGCAGGCCUAACACAUGCAAGUCGAGCGGAAACGAGUUAUCUGAACCUUCGGGGGACGAUAACGGCGUCGAGCGG
rnacentral:rRNA from 1 species